ACGGCUCAGUAACACGUGGAUAACCUGCCCUUGGGUCCGGCAUAACCCCGGGAAACUGGGGAUAAUUCCGGAUAACGCACAUAUGCUGGAAUGCUUUAUGCGUAAAAUGGAUUCGUCUGCCCAAGGAUGGGUCUGCGGCCUAUCAGGUAGUAGUGGGUGUAAUGUACCUACUAGCCAACAACGGGUACGGGUUGUGAGAGCAAGAGCCCGGAGAUGGAUUCUGAGACAUGAAUCCAGGCCCUACGGGGCGCAGCAGGCGCGAAAACUUUACAAUGCGGGAAACCGUGAUAAGGGGACACCGAGUGCCAGCAUCAUAUGCUGGCUGUCCAGGUGUGUAAAAUACACCUGUCAGCAAGGGCCGGGCAAGACCGGUGCCAGCCGCCGCGGUAACACCGGCGGCCCGAGUGGUGAUCGUGAUUAUUGGGUCUAAAGGGUCCGUAGCCGGUUUGGUCAGUCCUCCGGGAAAUCUGACGGCUCAACCGUUAGGCUUUCGGGGGAUACUGCCAGGCUUGGAACCGGGAGAGGUAAGAGGUACUACAGGGGUAGGAGUGAAAUCUUGUAAUCCCUGUGAGACCACCUGUGGCGAAGGCGUCUUACCAGAACGGGUUCGACGGUGAGGGACGAAAGCUGGGGGCACGAACCGGAUUAGAUACCCGGGUAGUCCCAGCCGUAAACGAUGCUCGCUAGGUGUCAGGCAUGGCGCGACCGUGUCUGGUGCCGCAGGAAAGCCGUGAAGCGAGCCACCUGGGAAGUACGGCCGCAAGGCUGAAACUUAAAGGAAUUGGCGGGGGAGCACAAU
rnacentral:rRNA from 1 species